rnacentral:lncRNA from 1 species
GUGACUAAAACCAUUGAUAGAUUUUUCUCUCUCAGAAACUUGCAAAACAUCUUUCAAUACUAAACUCAGCUUGGGAAAAGUUCCCAGCUCGAUUUCAGCUCCAUUUCUCUAUAUCUUGCAAUGAAGAUAUAUUCUAUCUUCAGCAGUGGGUCUUAUCAACUAUGUUUUGGCAUGCAAACAAGGGGAAUGAUAAGAGCCUGUAUUAUUAUUUAGGAUGGAAGGCUCUGGGACCUCCCUAAUCAACAACUCAUAAGGAGAUACCCUUCACCUGGCACUGGAAUUUUUGUUUAAUUACCCAGGGGAUUUUUGGAGCAUUAUUAUCAAACCCUUCAGGAUAUCUUCUGUCUAACUCUCUUUUAUAUCUUUAAGUUAUAUUUUUUAAUUGGGUGCAUGCUUUCUUGUGUUCAAUGCAUUGGAUGCAAUUUGCUUUCUUCCAAUUAAAAUGAUAUUUGUAUAUUCAACUGUGAUUCAGAAUUGUGAAAGUAUUAACUCCCCAAGGCCAUUCUUCCCUGAAUAAUAGGGAGCUCCUGAAGGCUCAAGGGCCUUUGCUCUCCUCAGCAUGAGUCAAUGCUUUAAUUUUCCUAGGAUCAAUUUUGUGAAGUCUCUCUGAAGUUGCCAGUGGCUCUUCAUCUACUUGCCCCGCCCCCCUUCUUCUCACAUUCUCUAUUCCUCCUCUUUUUUCUCACCAUUUUGUAAAAAAUAUUUUUGAAUGUCAGAUGUGCUUCUCAGCAUUACUCUAGCGUCUGGAUUUGUUUUUUGUUUGUUUGUUUGUUUGUUUUUAAGUUUCCUUUUUUCCCCAUUCUUUGGUACACUCUCAAUAUCUUAGAAAUAUCUGAAACUUAAUGAUUUGAAAACUGUGCCUGUAAAAAAAUUACACAUCUUAUCCCCAAUUUCUUCCAUUGUUUGUCUAAUUUCAGUCAUUUUCUCACAUUUUACCUAUUAUGAAAAUAUCCAUCUCUCCAUUUUUUCAAGCUUUAAAAAAUUUAGCGUGUAUGUGUGUAUAAUGUUUUAUAAUUCUUUACUUUUUGAUUUGCUUUGAUUUGUGAGAUAGGUUCCAGGAUGGGCUUGAACUUGCUAUGUAGUUAAGGGUGGCCUUGAUCCCUUUAUCCUCCUGCUCCCAUCUCAUAGGUACUGAGAUUACAAGGGAAUAUAAAGCUCCACACCCAGCUCUGACCCAUCCUUACUCUGAUUCAAAAUAUUACUCUCAUAGACGAGUUAAUGGUUUGUCUAUUGUUAAUGUUUAUGUUACAACAGUAUCUGCAUUUUCAUAUAGUAAUAUCUUCUCAAUCUCAUUAAUAAAAUUAUUUGGUUUUCUUUGGUUUGUAUUUCUUAUUCCUCUUGAGUUAACUACUGAAUUCACUAUUUUGGCUUUGUUUAAUGAGUAGUUUAUAAUCUGGAAACAGCAUCUGCAUCCUACAUCAAAUCACCAUUUUCCUUAUUCUUAGGUGUUUUAUAUUGACUUAUUUUUUUAAUGUUCUUUGUUAUGGUUUUGGUUUUUCUUCUUUGUUCUCAGUUUUGUCUCAUUACCCUCAUUUUACAAUGUGUAGAACUAGAUCAUUUUCCCUUCCAUGGUGUUUCAUUGCUAACAUAAAAGUCAAAGUACGUGUAUCACUAUACACUGGAUUUCCAUUACAUACAGUGUUUGUGUGUGUGUGUGUGUGUGUGUGUGUGUGUGUGUGUGUAGUACAAAAAGACAUUUCAUUUAACCAGUGUAAAAGAAGAAUGCAAGUAUCCAUAAUAUCCAUACAACUAUACCAUUUCUCAGUAUCAUAAUGAUCACUUCUAAGCUGAUGCUGUUAGGACCCAAGAUAAAUGCAACAUGCAAACUCUCUUCCAAUGGAAAGAGAGCUCAGCAAAACAUGAGACAGGAUAAAAGAGAAAAUAGCCAUCCCCAUACCAUCAAUCAUAGUGCCCCACUGUGUUUGGAUUAAACUAUGAGAUCCCCUACAGUAAUGUUUAUUAGAUACAUCUAGCUAUAAUCACCUCAGAAUCUUCUUGACUUUCAAAGUGUAAGCCACAUCCUUUAUCUAUUAAAUAGUUGUCUCUGUGGCACAACUCAGAUGUAGAUAUUUAUAAAGCAACCACGGGGAUUUCAAUGGACAAACUAGGUAGAAUCCUUUACUUGAUGUAUACUACCUGAAGCACAUCCAGCUGAACCUUAUUUACUUAUAUACCUGUGCCUUGAAUCUGUGAAUCUCAAACUCAAGCUUUACCCCACUAACUUGGUGAUGGUGGUGGUGGUGUGUGUAGGUUUUUUUUUGUUUGUUUUUUGUUUUUGUUUUUGUUUUUUAUUUUUUUAAAGACAGGAUUUAUCUAUGUAGUUAUGGCUAUCCUGCAACUCUGGAGAUCAUGCUAGUCUC